CUGAUGUAUCAAUAUAAUGAGAAUAAGUUUUAGCAGAAGACCUAGUAUGAGUACAUUAGUCCUCAACCGGAACCGGAAAGUAAUGAACAAAUAUUGGUGAAAACGAUUUUCGACUUGUAGCAGCUAGUGAGUUAAAGGAAUAAACCCCAUUAACUGGAACUGGCAGAAACUUUUUAAAAACAGAAAAAAACACAAACCUAAGAGACUUAUGCUAAAGCCAAGUAUAUACAUAGACGAUUGUCAGAUCGUACAAUGUUCUCAAAUCAAUUAACUUAUUGGUAUAUUUGACAAUAGAAACCAAUUAGCUUACAAAAGCCAAAUACAUAUGUACAUGUUAUACCUUAUCAUUGACUUAUUAUGUCCAGUUCUUAUAGUAUCUCAAAUACCUUUCAGAGCAAAUUUUGUCUCAAAUCUUAUAUUUAGAUCGUCGAAUGGUAAGCUGAUUCAACUGUGCGUCCGAGUUAGAAGAUGAAGUGAUGGGAACAACUUUGAAUGAAACUUCAAACUUCGAGGGUUGUUAGAACUUGAAUUCAAUCAGACGUACGAGUAUAACUUUUGCCAUGGCAACCAUAUUCACCGCUCUUCAGCAUAAUUAAAAACGUUUGGCUUCCUCGUAAGGUUUAUGCAGUUGGCAGAUAAUUUGAAAACAAGGAAACCUAUAUUGAAGCUUUUUGGGAUUUCUGGGUCCGAAUUUCCUGUGAUUAUUAAAAAAUCUAUUUCCAGUGAUUAUUAAAAUUUCUAUUCCAAACCGUCUUAUGGAGGUUAUAUUCUAAAAUGGCGGAUGUACUCAUUAAAAAAUUAAAUUAGCUGGUGCAACAGCCCGUUGAGACCUAUGGCCUAGUGACUAUCAACCAAUCCUGUGUGCGGUUAAUGUUGUCAGGAAUGGAUGGGUCCUACAAUUUUAAGCCGAACGGCUAAUUUGAGAAAGCACUUUUUUCGACAAGAAUUACUCUUUGAGAAUUUUUAAAUUCCUCGCAAGAGGCACCACCCGUGAAAAAAAACUUUACAUGGCCCUGGCAGGGAUCGAACCCAAGAUCUCUAGCAUGACAGCCUUAUAAAGACGUUAUAAAUAACUGCAAACCAUAAAAUCUAAAUAUUUUUUUUGUUUUUUUAAUUUUGCACUUUUUUAAACCCUUUUUAAAUAAUUUAUUUUUUCCAACGCUUGUAUACAAUUUACCCGUUAAUUUUAUAAAUGUAUUAUGUUGAAAUAUGUACGUGGUGAUUCACAGAUAGUAAACGUUUCAGGGUACAAAACAUCCACUAGUUGGCACUGUACAAUGGAUCGGCCAAGCUCUGCUAAAAGCAUACUCGAUACGUCUAUAAUGAAAACUAUAUGACAAUGAAAAACUAUAAGUAACUGUAAACUAACUUAAAAAACGAAAAAGAGUUAUUUCCAACAAUGACGUUUCUGGCAAUUAGUCCGUUGAUAUUUUAAAGAUCUCAGAGAUUUCCGGAUUCUCAGAAAUAUAAACAACAUAAACAUAAUCUCUUACAAUUUUCUCACUUGUGCUGUCCGAAUUAUGAGAACAGAUUUUUUAAGAUUCGAUUUCAUGUGAAUUCUUUAUCGCAAAAUUUUAAAAGGAUGGAAAUAAAUUCAAAAGUAAUAAUAAUGAA